rnacentral:rRNA from 1 species
GAUGAACGCUGGCGGCGUGCCUAAUACAUGCAAGUCGAGCGAACGGACGAGAAGCUUGCUUUUCUGAUGUUAGCGGCGGACGGGUGAGUAACACGUGGAUAACCUACCUAUAAGACUGGGAUAACUUCGGGAAACCGGAGCUAAUACCGGAUAAUAUUUUGAACCGCAUGGUUCAAAAGUGAAAGACGGUCUUGCUGUCACUUAUAGAUGGAUCCGCGCUGCAUUAGCUAGUUGGUAAGGUAACGGCUUACCAAGGCAACGAUGCAUAGCCGACCUGAGAGGGUGAUCGGCCACACUGGAACUGAGACACGGUCCAGACUCCUACGGGAGGCAGCAGUAGGGAAUCUUCCGCAAUAGGCGAGAGCCUGACGGAGCAACGCCGCGUGAGUGAUGAAGGUCUUCGGAUCGUAAAACUCUGUUAUUAGGGAAGAACAUAUGUGUAAGUAACUGUGCACAUCUUGACGGUACCUAAUCAGAAAGCCACGGCUAACUACGUG